GACGAACGCUGGCGGCGUGCUUAACACAUGCAAGUCGAACGGAAAGGCCCUGCUUUUGUGGGGUGCUCGAGUGGCGAACGGGUGAGUAACACGUGAGUAACCUGCCCUUGACUUUGGGAUAACUUCGGAAACUGGGGCUAAUACCGGAUAGGAGCUCCUGCUGCAUGGUGGGGGUUGGAAAGUUUCGGCGGUUGGGGAUGGACUCGCGGCUUAUCAGCUUGUUGGUGGGGUAGUGGCUUACCAAGGCUUUGACGGGUAGCCGGCCUGAGAGGGUGACCGGCCACAUUGGGACUGAGAUACGGCCCAGAAUCCUACGGGAGGCAGCAGUGGGGAAUAUUGCACAAUGGGCGGAAGCCUGAUGCAGCAACGCCGCGUGCGGGAUGACGGCCUUCGGGUUGUAAACCGCUUUCGCCUGUGACGAAGCGUGAGUGACGGUAAUGGGUAAAGAAGCACCGGCUAACUACGUG
rnacentral:rRNA from 1 species